AAUCAUGGCUCAGGAUGAACGCUGGCGGCGUGCCUAACACAUGCAAGUCGAGCGAAGCGUUUUGAAGGAAGUUUUCGGAUGGAAUUUGAAAUGACUGAGCGGCGGACGGGUGAGUAACGCGUGGGUAACCUGCCUCAUACAGGGGGAUAACAGUUAGAAAUGACUGCUAAUACCGCAUAAGCACACAGUACCGCAUGGUACAGUGUGAAAAACUCCGGUGGUAUGAGAUGGACCCGCGU
rnacentral:rRNA from 1 species